rnacentral:rRNA from 1 species
GACGAACGCUGGCGGCGCGCUUAACACAUGCGAGUCGAACGGAAAGGCCUGCUUUCCCUUGUGGAUUGCGGGUACUCGAGUGGCGAACGGGUGAGUAACACGUGAGUGAUCUGCCCCCAACUUGGGUAUAAGCCUGGGAAACUGGGUCUAAUUCCCGAUAGGACUGCAGGGUGGUGCCUGUGGUGGAAAACGAUUUUCUAGUGGUUGGGGAUGAGCUCGCGGCCUAUCAGCUUGUUGGUGGGGUAAUGGCCUACCAAGGCGGCGACGGGUAGCCGGCCUGAGAGGGUGGACGGCCACAUUGGGACUGAGAUACGGCCCAGACUCCUACGGGAGGCAGCAGUGGGGAAUAUUGCACAAGGGGCGGAAGCCUGAUGCAGCGACGCCGCGUGGGGGAUGACGGCCUUCGGGUGGUAAACUCCUUUCGACCGCGAGGAAGCCACCUGGUUGGAAGGGUGGUGACGGUAGUGGUAGAAGAAGCACCGGCUAACUACGUG